rnacentral:lncRNA from 1 species
AAAUACAUAUUUAUAUAAAUGUUGCCUCAAAUGAGUCAUAAACCAUGCACCAUCCAAAAUAAGCCAUUCAGUUACAAUACUAGUGAUUUCCCAUCCACAAUAGAGAGUAGUAAAGUUCUAUACAAAAAUAUGAGCACGAUUCCCAUCUAGAACAAAACAUGAGCACGAUAGGCCUUGUAGUCUUCAAAUCAAAAACCAUCUUCACAGCAAUGACUGGCUUCUUCUUCUUGGGAAUCGUGUUAGAACCUACACGUUACCAAAAUUGAAGCAAUGAGCACUAGUGUUAAAACUGGAACUACACUUCUAGAUAGGCACCAUAUUAUAAAAACUAAUGUCACUCUAAUUUGAAAUUAUAGCAAUCUAAGUAAAUUGCUUAACACAAAAAUAAAGUGAAAUUAUAGCAAAUAAGACAUUGAAUGUAUAUUCUGUGAAAUAUAGAAUAACAAUACAAACACAAUAAAUAUCUGCAUGUUCACAAAUAUAUAUGCAAUAACAAUAACAAUAACAACAACAAAAUCCUAAAAUCAUUGAGAGCCUAGAUGAUCGUGAACCACACAGUAUAUCAAGAAAAAAAAACACACACACACACACAAUCACAGGUGCCUCUUUUUCCUUAGCACAAAAAAAAAAUUCUGAUACAGAAAAAUUUAGAUGAGUUCGACAAAGAAAAAAGUGGAAUACAUCCCAAAGUGAAAAACCAUCUCAAAAGGGGAACUCACGAAACCUAACUGUUGCCUCAAUGAGACUUGCCAAAUUAAUUUAAAAGGAAAAAUAUUUCAACUAGCCGCAAAGUUAUGUUUCAAGAAGCCACAUAGGCAUACUCCCGCCUGAGAGCCACAAAGUUAUGUUUGAAGUAGAAGGCAACUGCUCUUACCUUCAAGACAUAUUAAAGUGCAGAAAAAGCAAAGUGUACAUAUGCCACAUAUAAUAACUUUGACUGUCUUUAGCAAUUAAGAGAUGAAAUAGCUAUGCUAAAAAUAUUUGUAGAUAAAUUAUACUUCCACUUGGAGCAGUAGAUGCAAUAUAACGCAUUUUGAGAGAUGACAGGACAAAGGAACCUAAACCAAUCCCAUCUAUUACAUCUCAAUGUGCUUUGACUGCCAGUGUCAUGAUCAGCAGCUCAGGGUAAAUUAGUAUACAAAAAUGUUUCCAUGGUAGUAAGGUACAGGAGUAACAGGACAACCUCUGUCCAGGUGCAUCCAUUAGUUUUGCAGCUGGAUAGGCAUAAUCAAUGAGAUCAACAGAACACAAAGCUCAGAAGGUGCAUUUACAAAGACAUGCAUGUUAUUUCAAUCUAUUACUGAACUUUGCAACCAUAUAUCCUUUUGAUCUGUGUCUAAGGGGCUAAAAUUACAAAAAGUAGAGAGAUUGAAACGAAGUGAAAUUCAAGGCAUAGACUAAGAAUGAAACAUUAAUUCCAGAGAACUGGUUUGUCAAGAUUGUAAAAAUGUUCUUACGGUAUAGCCCCUUCAAAUAUGGAUGCUGACCACGAUUAAGCUCAGUUACCACCUCCAGCUGGGGAUUGAUCUCUUUAAAUGCUGGCAAAUGAGAUUCCAUGAAAGCCCUGGUGUGUUACGGACAUGGUUAGUCCUUUCAUUGCGCUAGAAGACGACAGGAAUCUACAACUUUUUAUUUCAUACUCUCUCCCAUUUAGAUUAAAGAGAAUUGUCCUUCAUCAUUAAGAUUAUAUUAAUGAUAUUUUUCUUAUCAAAAUUGCUUUUCUUUUGGUGGAACUGUGCUUGUAAACUAGCAGAUAACUAAUCUAAAGCAGGGAAAACUCGCUUUUUAUAUAAGCUAAACAAAUUGUAUUAUAAGACCACGUCCUGGACAGUCAAAAUGCCAUUCAAAAGCAGCAACAAUGCCAAGUAGACUAUAAUUUAACCAUUCCUUUAAUACAUAUUUAAAAGAUUCGACAGAAAUAGUAGCAUAGGAACUUGCACUGUCAAGUUGGAAUUGGCCCAGAU